UUUAGAACUCGAUAUAUGGGUUGAACACUAAACAGUGUCUGAGCUGCAGGACAUAUUCGGACUUCUUCGUUGUUGCUAUAAUUUGGACUUGAAAACGGCCUUGUUAAAUCUUGGACUCCACAUGAAAGUUGUAGGCCUAUGUCUUAGCUUUCCAUC
rfam:Populus trichocarpa scaffold_11_contig_564, whole genome shotgun sequence.